CACGCGUCAGCCUCGGUCAUCAUCUCACCGGCCUCGCCUUUCAUCUCUACCACCUGGAAAGCCGGCGUGGCCGACCGAGGUUAUGGAAUGUUUUGUGGCAUCUGUAAUGCGUGUACCCAGCAUAGACGACUGACUGUUCAAGGAACUGAAGCAGUGGACAGCUUGCUGUGAAAGAUGGGAGCAUUCUUCCUCUGGUCUGGACAAGCCCAUAUUAAGUGGGAGAUGUUCAAUAUCAACCCGAUGAGAGGCAGCAAAUGUGGAAAUGGACGCAAGUCAAGGACAGCUGCAGACAGCAAAAUAUUGAAACUGAUACAACGAUUGUGCUGAAUCACCCAAGAUAUGAGCCAGAGUGCG
rnacentral:lncRNA from 1 species